rnacentral:rRNA from 1 species
UACGGGGGGGGCAAGCGUUGUUCGGAAUUACUGGGCGUAAAGGGUCUGUAGGUGGCCAACUAAGUCAGACGUGAAAUCCCUCAGCUUAACUGGGGAACUGCGUCUGAGACUGGAUGGCUUGAGGACAGGAGAGGAAUGCGGAAUUCCAGGUGUAGCGGUGAAAUGCGUAGAUAUCUGGAGGAACACCGGUGGCGAAGGCGGCAUUCUGGACUGUUUCUGACACUGAAAGACGAAAGCCAGGGGAGCAGACGGG